GUCCAUGGGGACAGCUAAAGGACUUACUAUCUUACCCUGAUGGCCAUCUCUCAUCCAAUAGGACUCAACCGUUAACCAGUGAGGAUACACUCAGGGGAGGAAUGAGGGAUACCAGGAAGUCAGACUCCAUACAAGGUGACCACAGAUGAGUGCAACUGUCCUGUAUGUGGAGAACGAUCCAGUUCCCCCAUUGUACCAUGGGAAAGCAUGGGCCAGUGCCUUCAGAUGGGAAAAGGCACAUCACCUGACACCCAGAAGUGGAGGGUACCCCUUUCUCCUGCUAACUGCCAUCCACUCAAUAGCUGGAGAGGAAGGCCCUGUGGACCUGUGUUCCAAGGGAAGCUUCCCUUCUGUGGGGCUGUUCUAAAAACCGAGAGAAACACCGUGCUUGUGGCUGAUGUCCUGCUCCGGGUGGGUCCUAUCUGGUCAUUGUUUCCCAAGUAUGAUCUCCAUCAAACCAACAGUUGCUUGCUCUUUAUUGAAUAGGACAUUUUGAUUUGAUCAUGUAGCCUUUGAAAACACUGAGGUCCUGAAAUGAAACUACACUGGCUGUAGGGUCAAGCAUACAGCUUGAUUCUUAUUGAAGCAUAUAAAUAAAUGUCGAAACUGAUAAGCCA
rnacentral:lncRNA from 1 species